rnacentral:tRNA from 1 species
GGGGAUUUAGCUCAGCGGUAGAGCACUUGCCUAGCAAGUGCAAGGCCCUGGGUUCAAUCCCCAGCUCCG